rnacentral:rRNA from 1 species
AUUGAACGCUGGCGGCAGGCCUAACACAUGCAAGUCGAACGAGUGGCGGACGGGUGAGUAAUGUCUGGGAAACUGCCCGAUGGAGGGGGAUAACUACUGGAAACGGUAGCUAAUACCGCAUACCAUCGGAGGUGCCCGGAUGGGAUUAGCGAGUAGGUGGGGUAACGGCUCACCUAGGCGACGAUCCCUAGCUGGUCUGAGAGGAUGACCGGCCACACUGGAACUGAGACACGGUACAGACUCCUACGGGAGGCAGCAGUGGGGAAUAUUGCACAAUGGGCGCAAGCCUGAUGCAGCCAUGCCGCGUGUAUGAAGAAGGCCUUCGGGUUGUAAAGUACUUUCAGCGGGGAGGCGUUACCCGCAGAAGAAGCACCGGCUAACUCCGUGCCAGCCGCCGCGGUAAUUC